CAGAGACUGCAAGCGUUAUUCGGAUUCACUGGGCGUAAAGGGUGCGCAGGCGGCCAAGUGUGUUAGGCGUGAAAGCCUGGGGCUUAACCCCAGAAUUGCACCUAAAACUACAUGGCUAGAGCAUUGGAGAGGGUAGCGGAAUUCACGGUGUAGCAGUGAAAUGCGUAGAUAUCGUGAGGAACACCAGAGGCGAAGGCGGCUACCUGGACAAUUGCUGACGCUCAGGCACGAAAGCGUGGGGAGCAAAAGGGAUUAGAUACCCUGUAGUCCACGCCCUAAACGGUGCACACUAGGUCUUGGCGGAUUCGACCCCACCAGGGCCCAAGCUAAUGCGUUAAGUGUGCCGCCUGAGGACUACGGUCGCAAGACUA
rnacentral:rRNA from 1 species